rnacentral:rRNA from 1 species
AAGCGGCGGACGGGUGGGUAACGCGUGGGUAACCUACCCUGUACACACGGAUAACAUACCGAAAGGUAUGCUAAUACGGGAUAAUAUAUUUGAGAGGCAUCUCUUAAAUAUCAAAGGUGAGCCAGUACAGGAUGGACCCGCGUCUGAUUAGCUAGUUGGUAAGGUAACGGCUUACCAAGGCGACGAUCAGUAGCCGACCUGAGAGGGUGAUCGGCCACAUUGGAACUGAGACACGGUCCAA